AUCUCUCCGUACGGGGAAGGAUGAGAAGCUUCGACUAAGGUUCGAUUCGAGCGAAAGCGAGAAAGCGUUGCCGCAGGCAACGACCCGAAGGGCGAAACGCGCAGCGCUGAGUCAUCCUUCCCCCACCACCA
rnacentral:sRNA from 1 species